rnacentral:rRNA from 1 species
AUUGAACGCUGGCGGAAUGCUUUACACAUGCAAGUCGAACGGUAGAGGGGGCAACCCCUCGAGAGUGGCGAACGGGUGAGUAAUAUAUCGGAACGUGCCCAGUCGUGGGGGAUAACGUAGCGAAAGUUACGCUAAUACCGCAUACGAUCUACGGAUGAAAGCGGGGGAUCGCAAGACCUCGCGCGAUUGGAGCGGCCGAUAUCAGAUUAGGUAGUUGGUGGGGUAAAGGCUCACCAAGCCAACGAUCUGUAGCUGGUCUGAGAGGACGACCAGCCACACUGGAACUGAGACACGGUCCAGACUCCUACGGGAGGCAGCAGUGGGGAAUUUUGGGACAAUGGACGCAAGUCUGAUCCAGCCAUUCCGCGUGCAGGAUGAAGGCCCUCGGGUUGUAAACUGCUUUUGUACGGAACGAAAAGGUUUCUAUUAAUACUAGGAGCUCAUGACGGUACCGUAAG